rnacentral:rRNA from 1 species
GAUGAACGCUGGCGGCGUGCCUAAUACAUGCAAGUCGAGCGAAUGGAUUGAGAGCUUGCUCUUAUGAAGUUAGCGGCGGACGGGUGAGUAACACGUGGGUAACCUGCCCAUAAGACUGGGAUAACUCCGGGAAACCGGGGCUAAUACCGGAUAACAUUUUGAACCGCAUGGUUCGAAAUUGAAAGGCGGCUUCGGCUGUCACUUAUGGAUGGACCCGCGUCGCAUUAGCUAGUUGGUGAGGUAACGGCUAACCAAGGCAACGAUGCGUAGCCGACCUGAGAGGGUGAUCGGCCACACUGGGACUGAGACACGGCCCAGACUCCUACGGGAGGCAGCAGUAGGGAAUCUUCCGCAAUGGACGAAAGUCUGACGGAGCAACGCCGCGUGAGUGACGAAGGCUUUCGGGUCGUAAAACUCUGUUGUUAGGGAAGAACAAGUGCUAGUUGAAUAAGCUGGCACCUUGACGGUACCUAACCAGAAAGCCACGGCUAACUACGUGCCAGCCGCCGCGGUAA